UCGAAUCCUGACCUCGUGAUUCCGCCUGCCUCAGUCUCCCAAAGUGCUGGGAUUGCAGGCGUGAGCUACCUCGCUUGGCCAUAAUGCUAAUAAUAAUUAACCAUUAGGUAGUAUUAACCAAAUGUUGGGAGCUGAGCUAAGCUAAGCUUUUCACGUGAAAUUCAUUUAAUCUUGCCACAAAUCUUAUGUGGUAGGUAUUACUAUUAAGCUCAUUUUACAGACGGAGACACUGAGGCCUUAGGGACAUACAGUAAUUUGGGUUCUUAGAGCUUUAAGUUUUUAGGAUUCAAAAAGUCUACACUGUCUGGAGGGUAGAAUAAUUUGGCAACAGUUGCUGCUGCCGAACAGGGAAACUGAGAGCUGGGAGAGAGUGGAGAAGAGAGGCUUGCUUUUUGACGUAUGACUUUUAUUUUGAAGUUUUUGGUAUAUGUAUAUGCAUGUCAUGCAUAUAUAUGUAUUGUUAAGGA